AUGCUGCUGGACACCGUCCUGCCUCGUGUUGUCCUGGGGCUGACGGUGACGCUGGGGAAGUCAAUGGGGACUCCUUGUACCGAGCACAUCCCCAAACAGGCCCUUCUGCUGCUUCCCCUCUCGUUGCUUUGUUUUGUGGGGCCCCGCAGGGCAUGGGAGAGCACAAACCCUGCACAGAGCUUCACGGGUUGGAGGCGUCCCCCUAAAUCCUCCGGCAUCCCGCAGCCGGGCUCCCAAGCCCCCAACCACCACCCCCAGCCUCCUGGGUCCCCUUCCCGCUGCCCCCAGGGGUUCCCAAGGUGGCUCACAAGUGGGUGCCCGGAGCGCGGCUGCCUGGCUUUGCAGGCAGGGGCGGCAGCCGGGGAAGGGAGACCUCGCGCUGGAGCUCUGCCCCGACAAGCAGCGCCGACGGAGCGCCUGGAGCCGCCGAGCUCCGCAAGCCGGAGCCUGAGCCCCAGCCCCGCGGCCGGAGGCGCUGCAGAUCCGCUGGGAGAUUGCCCGGCUGCGUGGGAACGCGGCAGCGCGGCGCGAUGUCCCCCGGGCUGCGCCACGGCCACGCGGCCCCGUGCCAAGCCAGCGCCGGGUGGCUUUGGGGAGGGACGGUGGCACGGCCGGUGCCUGCUCCUGGUGCUCCGGGCUCUUUCUGAGCAGCCUGGGAAUGAGGUGCUGGGUGGUUUUCCACCUGUUUUCUCUUCCCUGGCCCUCGGAGGUUCAUUUGCUAAAUCCCCCCUGCCUGUGAGCGGAGAUGAGCCGGGGGCACCGCGGGUGCAGCCAGAGCCAAACCGUGCGCUUGGCCUGAGCUCUGCACGGGAGGAGCGUGCCGGGGGGAGCACAGCACGGGGGGUGCAGAGGGUGCUGAGCAGCAGAGGCUCAGACCUUGAAGCCCCCCAGGCUCGGGGCUGUUCUGGCUCCUGGGGCUACAGCAAGUCCCAGCUCCUCCUCGGCCCGAGAACCGUGGGUGGGGACAUGGGGGUGGUGGGGCACAGAGCCCUGCAUGGGCCAGCCCAGCACCCCCAGGCCCCAUCCCCACACACUUCUGGAGGGAAUGGGGUUGUGAACGGUCGGUGUCGGUGCUUGCAAGACAUCUCCAGGGAUCUUUGUCCUGGCUUCUCAUACAGCCCCAGCUCCCAGGGUUGGGGCAUUCAGUGGGGCUCGUGCAAAGCCCUGCGAGCAUCCCAAGCCCGAACCAUUAAGGAGCAACACCCAGGGGUGGCAGCACCAGCACGAGGGGUUUUCUAA
rnacentral:lncRNA from 1 species